UAGCGGCAGGCCUAACACAUGCAAGUCGAGGGGUAACAAGUCUAGCUUGCUAGAUGUUGACGACCGGCGCACGGGUGCGCAACGCGUAUACAAUCUGCCCCCUACUGUGGGAUAGCCCAGAGAAAUUUGGAUUAAUACCACAUGGUACCAUAUUACGGCAUCGUAUUUAUGGUUAAAGGUUACGGUAGGGGAUGAGUAUGCGUCCCAUUAGUUAGUUGGCGAGGUAACGGCUCACCAAGACCGCGAUGGGUAGGGGCCCUGAGAGGGGGAUCCCCCACACUGGUACUGAGACACGGACCAGACUCCUACGGGAGGCAGCAGUGAGGAAUAUUGGACAAUGGGCGGGAGCCUGAUCCAGCCAUGCCGCGUGCAGGAAGAAUGCCCUAUGGGUAGUAAACUGCUUUUAUACGGGAAGAAAAAGGGCUACGUGUAGCCCACUGACGGUACCGUAAGAAUAAGGACCGGCUAACUCCGUGCCAGCAGCCGCGGUA
rnacentral:rRNA from 1 species